ensembl:lncRNA
CUCGUGGAGCAAAAUACCUAGCUGCAAAAAGGAGAAUCCACCUCAGGUGAGACCGAGGUCCUCCAAGUGACCACCGGGGCGCCAUCCGCCGCCCGCCCCGCGCGCCCCGCCCGCCCUGCAAACACCGAGAGACAGAGGAGCUGCGGCGACCUGCGCAGACCGCGGGGCUGGACAACUCCUCUUCCGACUAGCUGGACUGUUGCUGUGGGUUGGACCGCAUUUCCCAAGGCUGUUUUGGCAGUAAUGCCUGUGACGCCAAGGACUCUUCACCCAGAAUGUUACAAAAACCCUUCAGUAUCUGUACUAUCAGUUCAGUUCAGCUCAGUCGCUCAGUCGUGUCCGACUCUGCGACCCCAUGAACUGCAGAACCCAGGCCACCCUGUCCAUCACCAACCCCCGGAGUUCACUCAGACUCACGUCCAUCGAGCCGGUGAUGCCACCCACCCAUCUCCUCCUCUGUCGUCCCCUUCUCCUGCCCUCAGUCUUUCAGGCUAUUUUCCAACGAGUCAGCUCUUCGCAUCAGGUGGCCAAAGUACUGGAGUUUCAGCUUCAACAUCAGUCCUUCCAAUGAACACUCAGGACUGAUCUCCUUUAGGAUGGACUGGUUGGAUCUCCUUGCAGUCCAAGGGACUCUCAAGUGUCUUCUCCAACACCACAGUUCAAAAGCAUCAAUUUUUAGGUGCUCAGCUUUCUUUAUAGUCCAACUCUCACAUCCAUACAUGACUACUGGAAAAACCAUAGCCUUGACUAGACGGACCUUUGUUGGCAAAGUAAUGUCUCUGCUUUUCAAUAUGCUACCUAGGUUGGUCAUAACUUUCCUUCCAAGGAGUAAGCGUCUUUUAAUUUCAUGGCUGCAAUCACCAUCUGCAGUGAUUUUGGAGCCACCCCAAAAUAAAGUCUGACACUGUUUCCCCAUCUAUUUCCUAUGAAGUGAUGGGACCAGAUGCCAUGAUCUUCGUUUUCUGAAUGUUGAGCUUUAAGCCAACUUUUUCACUCUCCUCUUUCACUUUCAUCAAGAGGCUUUUUAGCUCCUCUUCACUUUCUGCUAUAAGGGUGGUGUCAUCUGCAUAUCUGAGGAUAUUGAUAUUUCUCCCGGCAAUCUGGAUUCCAGCUUGUUUCUUCCAGUCCAGCGUUUCUCAUGAUGUACUCUGCAUAUAAGUUAAAUAAGCAGGGUGACAAUAUACAGCCUUGACGUACUCCUUUUCCUAUUUGGAACCAGUCUGUUGUUCCAUGUCCAGUUCUAACUGUUGCUUCCUGACCUGCAUACAGAUUUUUCAGGAGGCAGAUCAGGUGGUCUGGUAUUCCCAUCACUUUCAGAAUUUUCCACAGUUUAUUGUGAUCCACACAGUCAAAGGCUUUGGUAUAGUCAAUGAAGCAGAAAUAGAUGCUUUUCUGGAACUCUCUUGCUUUUUCCAUGAUCCAACAGACGCUGGCAAUUUGAUCUCUGGUUCCUCUGCCUUUUCUAAAACCAGCUUGAACAUCUGGAAGUUCACAGUUCACGUAUUGCUGAAGCCUGGCUUGGAGAAUUUUGAGCAUUACUUUACUAGCAUGUGAGAUGAGUGCAAUUGUGCAGUAGUUUGAGCAUUCUUCGGCAUUGCCUUUCUUUGAGAUUGGAAUGAAAACUGACCUUUUCCAGUCCUGUGGUCACUGCUGAGUUUUCCAAAUUUGCUGGCAUAUUGAGUGCAGCACUUUCACAGCAUCAUCUUUCAGGAUUUGAAAUAGCUCCACUGGAAUUCCAUCACCUCCACUAGCUUUGUUCAUAGUGAUGCUUUCUAAGGCCCACUUGACUUCACAUUCCAGGAUGUCUGGCUCUAGAUGAGUGAUCACACCAUCGUGAUUAUCUUGGUCAUGAAGAUCUUUUUUGUACAGUUCUUCUGUGUAUUCUUGCCACCUCUUCUUAAUAUCUUCUGCUUCUGUUAGGUCCAGACCAUUUCUGUCCUUUAUCGAGCCCAUCGUUGCAUGAAAUGUUCCCUUGGUAUCUCUAAUUUUCUUGAAGAGAUCUCUAGUCUUUCCCAUUCUGUUGUUUCCCUCUAUUUCUUUGCAUUGAUCGCUGAGGAAGGCUUUCUUAUCUCUUCUUGCUGUUCUCUGGAACUCUGCAUUCAGAUGCUUGUAUCUUUCCUUUUCUCCUUUGCUUUUCGCUUCUCUUCUUUUCACAGCUAUUUGUAAGGCCUCCCCAGACAGCCAUUUUGCCUUUUUGCAUUUCUUUUCCGUGGAGAUGGUCUUGAUCCCUGUCUCCUGUACAAUGUCACGAACCUCAUUCCAUAGUUCAUCAGGCACUCUAUCUCUCAGAUCUAGGCCCUUAAAUCUAUUUCUCACUUCCACUGCAUAAUCAUAAGGGAUUUGAUUUAGGUCAUACCUGAAUGGUCUAGCGGUUUUCCUAUUUUCUUCAAUUUAAGUCUGAAUUUGGCAAUAAGGAGUUCAUGAUCUGAGCCAUAGUCAGCUCCUGGUCUUGUUCUUGCUGACUGUAUAGACCUUCUCCAUCUUUGGCUGCAAAGAAUAUAAUCAACCUGAUUUUGGUGUUGACCAUCUGAUGAUGUCCAUGUGUAGAGUCUUCUCUUGUGUUGUUGGAAGAGGGUGUUUGCUAUGACCAGUGCAUUUUCUUGGCAAAACUCUAUUCGUCUUUGCCCUGCUUCAUUCCGCAUCCCAAGGCCAAAUUUGCCUGUUACUCCAGGUGUUUCUUGACUUCCUGCUUUUGCAUUCCAAUCCCCUAGAAUGAAAAGGACAUCUUUUUGGAGGUAUUAGUUCUAAAAGGUCUUGUAGGUCUUUAUAAAACCGUUCAACUUCAGCUUCUUCAGCGUUACUGGUUGGGGCAUAGACUUGGAUAACUGUGAUAUUGAAUGGUUUGCCUUGGAGACAAACAGAGAUCAUUCUGUCAUUUGUGAGAUUGCAUCCAAGUACUGCAUUUUGAACUUUUUUGUUGACCGUGAUGGCUACUCCAUUUCUUCUGAGGGAUUCCUGCCUGCAGUAGUAGAUAUAAUGGUCAUCUGAGUUAAAUUCACCCGUUCCAGUCCAUUUUAGUUUGCUGAUUCCUAGAAUGUCGACCUUCACUCUUGCCAUCUCUUGUCUGACCACUUCCAAUUUGCCUUGAUUCAUGGACCUGACAUUCCAGGUUCCUCUGCAAUAUUGCUCUUUACAGCAUCCGACCUUGCUUCUAUCACCAGUCCCAUCCACAGCUGGGUGUUGGUUUUGCUUUGGCUCCGUCUCUUCGUUCUUUCUGGAGUCAUUUCUCCACUGACCUCCAGCAGCAUGUUGGGCGCCUAGUGACCCGGGGAGUUCCUCUCUGUGUCCUGUCUUCGCCUUUUAAUCUCUUUCCAGGAGGAGCAUCGACCUGCGAAGACCGCGGGGUGGACUACAGCAGCAUCCUCUUCGGACCAUGUGGACUCCUGCUGGGGGUGGUGCCGCGUUUCCCGAAGCUGUCUUGGCAGCCGUGCCUGUGGCCGCAAACACCGUCCCCCUGCGCGGUGUCAGGCCCCUCCAGUGCUCGCGCUGUGUCCUCCCGUACAGCGGCGCCUCCCUGCCCCACCCCCACCAUCCCGGGGUUUCUGGAGGUCGAAACUACAAAUUCACACCCUGAAAGAAAAAGAGUUCAGGAAAAUUUUAGUUAGGCAAAAUGACAGGAUAUUAAGUUAGGACCUUGCCCAGAUGCGUGAAGGAGCUAAAUGUCUGAGUUGAAAAGGAUUCUAAUGUUCUUACUGCUGGUAACUUGCCAAGUAAUCCUGGAAAAAAAAUCUUUCUAUCUUAUCAAGAUACACAUAAAUACAUGUAUAUGCCUAUGUGGGCUUCUACACAGCUCAGGAAGAGCAACCACCAGAGAGAAAAGCGGGCAGAAGCGUUUGAGCACAUAACGCACAGAAGAGGAGUGCGACUGCCUGUCAAACAUGGGACACGCAAGCCGGCUCCACUUACGGGCCAGAGACGGAUCCCAGCUGCUCUCCAGUUAUCCUCGCAGACCCUCCUCCUACAAACAAAGCCCCCAAGGACGGUGCGCAGCUCACGGGUACGCGAAGGCUGGAUGUGCAGUGGACUGAAUGGCCAGCCCUCCGUCCUCCUCCCCUGCGGCGGCGCGUUCGUCCACCCUCGCCGUGCCUUUGUGAUGAGCUGGGCUGUCCCUUCACCCCUGGGGUCCAGGCAUGGCUCCAUGGCUUGAGAUGGCGGAUGUUAGCAGGAUGACCCCAGCAGAGGCCUGAAUGUCCUGCACGCCUUCCACCGUGGCACCUCCGCUGUGUUCCCAGUAGCCGCUGCCACGCUAGCCCAGAGCUCAGACCGGAACAUGUGAGGCCUGGGAGCCAUGGAUGGAGCCAAGUCCAUCCAAACCCCUACCGACCCACAAGCCUGUGAGUGAGGGGAAAAAGCAGCUUGGUCUUAAGCACAGAUGAUGCGGCUGUGCCGUAGGCAGCGUUCGUGGCCCUUCAGCCGCAAGGUCACGUCUGACUCUGUGACCCCAUGAACCGCGGCACGCCAGGGUUCCCUGUCCUUCACUACCUCCUGGAGUUUGUUCAAACUCAUGUCUACUGAGUCUUCCUACAUAUAUAUCCCUAUGUGAGAAAUGCAAACAGGUCCACACAACAGCUCGUGCACAGAUGUUUAAAGCAGCACUGUGCAUAAUCACCAGAGGUCGGAAGCAACCCACGCGUAUGGCUGGCUGGCUGAGGAAUACCCCGACAACGGAACGUUCGUCCACGAGGAGGGGAGGGCUGGCACGUGAGCGGGUCUCGUCAACAUCACGCUGUACGAGAAGCCAGUCACAGAACACCACGUCUAUUUAUAGGGAAUAUUUAGAAGCAAUAUAGGAAAUGUUUAUAUUUAUGAAUAGGAACAUUCAGAAGAGCUAAGUCCAUGGAGACAGAGAGCAGACAGGUGGUUACUUAGGGGCGGGGUGUGUGUGAUAAAAGGGCGUGGGGUCCCCUUUUGAAGCGAUGGAAACGUUCUAAUAGAGACGACGGUGAUGGCUGCACGUGUGGCUAUUCUAAAAACCACGGAAUCGUACAUUUUAAACAGGUGAGCUACAUGUUAUGAGAAUUUUAUCUCAGUAAAGCUGUUUUUUUUAAGUUAAGGGAAAUAUGAGAUAUCCUCAUAUGAUGAAAAAUGUUCUGCUUCUUUAAAACAAAACCCAAACUUAAGAAUAAAACACCUAGGGCCUUUCAUGUGCUCAGCCGUGUCUGACUUUGUGGCCCCGUGGACCGCAGCCAGCAGGCUCCUCUGUCCGUGGGACUUCCCAGGCGGGAGUACUGGGGCGGGCUGCAGCGCCCUCCUCCAGGGGGUCUGCCUGGCCCGGGGCGGAGCCAGGGGGCCUCUUGUCCUGCCCACCUGGAGGCAGAUUCUUUGCCUCUUGAGCCAGGCCCCCUGGUGGAGCGUGUUCCACUGCACCAGGAGCCGCCCAGCGGUUUCUCAACACGACUGCCCUGUGCCCGCCUGUCAGCAGCGUGUGAACGCUCCGGCUGCUCUGCAGUCGCGGUAUUUUGACUAUUUUCUUACAUUUAUACUCUAAGAGGCAUGUGUUAUUGUGGUUUUAAUUUGCAUUUUGCAAUGACUGAUGCCACUGGCCAUCUUCUUUUUGUGCUUAUUUUAAUUGCCAUCCAUGCGUCUGGUGAAAUGUCCUGUAAAAUAAGUUACUGAAGGACAAAAAUUAAAUUUCACAAAAAUCAGAUGCUUAAAUUAACAAAAAUGAGAUUGAGAGAGGAAGAACAACUGAGAAACGACCUGCCACACACGAGAGGGCCGGGCUGACAGAGCCGACGCAGAGAGAGGCCGGGCAGGUGCCCGCCCCCAGGCUGUACAGCUGCCCGUGGCCCCAAGCUGAGUGGGGAGCGUGCGCCCACCACCUGGAGGCUGAGGCCGGGAGGCACCCAGGGCAGUCGGGUCAGCACAGGCAGGGGGUCCCUGCCCGGGAAGACACAGACCCCAUGCUUUGCCUGCAAAGGAGGCCAGCAGGCGGACGGGAGCUGAGGAACACCAGUGGGCAGGGUGGGAGGUCAGUGGCACGGUGUGAGCGGCGGGGGCGGGGAGACGGACAGAGGCAGGAGGCCGCCUGGAGGGGCGCAGGGCACGGGGUGGGGCAAGCUUCUGGCCUUCAGGUACUCGAGUGUCUGUUCUGUCCGUCGCCGCCUCCUCUGAAGACUUCCCUGCGGGUGCACGAGGCUGUCUGACGCUGUCCCCUGGCUCCCGACGCCCUUUCCCUUCCUCCUCUGUGUUUCCUGUUUUGGCGCCUUUUCACUGCUGUGCCUUGAGGGUCACGGAUCCCUUCCCCUGCAGGGUCUGCUGCCAUUGCCUGUCCCGCGCCUUUUCCGUGUCCGCGCCACCGUUCUUCACCUGCAGAAGUCUGCUUGCGGCUUUCCCAGCUACAGAGUUGUCGUCACUUUCCGAAAGAAGGGAGAGUGUUAUGGUGAUUGUUUCAAUGUCCUUUUCUGCUGGUUCUGACACCCAUGGAACUCCCGGGCCAGUCUUGCCUGAGCAGUCAAGACUGACUCUUCUCGCUUUGCCCUGAGCUCCUCCUUUGCAUGCCUGGUAAUCUUCAUGUGGACGCCGGACACCAUCAACUGUCCCCUGCGGCAUGUUGGGCACUUCUGUAUUCUUACAGAUCCUCUUGAACUCUGCAACGUAACUAACUUCUUGGAAGCAAUUUAGUCCCUUUGGGUCUUGUUUUUUGUUAGAUGGAUCUGGAAGUGUUAGUUGCUCAGUUAUAUCUGACUCUUUGCAACCCCACGGACUACAGUCCACCAGGCUCCUCUGUCCAUGGGGUUCUCCAGGGAAGAAUGCUGGAGUGCACUGCCAUCUCCUGCUUCAGGGAUCUCCCCGAGCCAGGGAUUGAACCUGGGUCUCCUGCAUAGACCGACGGGUUCUUUACCAUCUGAGCCAUGUGGGAAUCCCAGGCGGAUCUGGAGCAGACGGAUCUAAUUAUUCUCCAAAAUGGAGGAAGACUUCCCGAGUCCUCUUCUGCCCCAAACCUGUGCGCUGAGUUCUAGUCCAGUGGAUAGGAAUGGACAGCACCCGAGGCUCUGGGUGCCGACCCUUCUGGACGGUUCUGUGGCCAUUUACAGGAGCACUGAUCCGCACGUGGCUGGAUGUGCAGAGGCUAGGCUCUGGGGUUCCGUCCUCGGAGCCCCCUCCUCUCCAGGGCGCUCGGAGCCACGUCAGGACUCCAGGGUCCUGCUGGGCCCUGCCUCGGCUCCCCCUCCUCCCCGGUGCGGCGGCUGGCGGGAGUUGGGCAGUCCCAGACGCGUCUCAUUUCCCACUUCCCAGGGACCGCUGUCCAUGCUGUACCCGCCACCUCGUGCCCUCCGACUGCCACCUUCAGUGGUUCCAGGCAGAAGGGUCAGUGUGGCCCCUGCCCGUCUGUCUUGGCUGGAAGUGCACGUUUCCGACCAGUCUCCCCCCCCCCCCGUCCCCUCUUGUCUGAGGAGUGGUUGUCAACAACGCUGACUGUCAAGGAUUCUUCGAGGGAAUGUGUGUGAAGUGCCAUGACUUUGCCUCCGCGACCCUGGCCGGUCCUCACAAGCACGUACGUCUCCUUAGCCUCAUCUCCCUUCGGCAGCUGGCGCGUGAGGCUGGGUCUUUGCUGGCUCGGGGCCCGGGCAGGCGCUCUCAGGCCGUGCGCUGCGGCUCCCGUAGCCUGGCUUCGAGGCGCCCGUGCCCGAGGG